ensembl:lncRNA
AUUCACUAACGUGUUGUCAGGGGAACAACAAGGCCGGCUUUCCGACCCUUUAACCUGCUGGCUACAGUUAGCCGCUCGCUAGUUAGCCGAUACUUUCGUUUGCGUGUUUGCUGGAAGAAGGGGCGUCACACAAACCGUGUGGCUAGCCCGCUGUUAGCCUAACGAGCUACCUCGGGGUUAGCACCUUUCCCCGUACUAAAAUAUGGCCACAUGUCGGGACUAUUGGAGGGCUUUUUACACGUCGUAAGCGGAACCCGUACAAGGCGCUGUUUGGUGCCUGUGGCUUGUGUUGCCUUGUUGUUGUUGUCCUCGCUGAGCAGUGACCGUGUCCCAGAAGUGUCCCUCACGAUGAUGAAGAGAAGCAGGCACCCCAGCAGCAGCAGCGACGACUCCGACAAUGGAAGUAAGCAAAAGAUAUCGUCCCCGCUGACUCAUUGGGUCCAAAUAUAGAGCCGAAUCAGGUCAAGCUCAACUCUGCAAAAGUGAAAAGCGCCGGAGUAAUGGCUUUUAACAGGGAAGUUGUUGUUUGCUGAACAUGACUCCCAAACCUUUUGCUGUCAGGGUCAGUAAAUGUGUACUUCAUGUUCAGGAAGCAAACCGAGAGCGAGGAAGGGAAAGAAAGGCAGCAGAUGGACAAAGAUUAAGGAACAAAAAAAGAAGGCCUACAAUCUGAGAGACA